AUUCUGAAUCCAUCUUCUUUUUCAAUGUGAAGUUCCCAGAAGAAACUCCUGUGUUCUUCUAUCCGAUUAGGGAAAAACUCAAAUUCAUCAACAAAUCCCCGUAAAGGUUCCUCGUUUGAUUCAAAUUGAUCCUUUAUGAUAUUCAUCACUUGUUUUCCUAAUGUUAAUUUGGAUUUACAGCCUUCUGUACUUCUCUCAAAACAUGCGAAAGGCGGCUCCUUUAGAUUUCUUCAUCAAUUACUCAAAAAGGUGCAAACUUUGAUUGGAAUAAUAGAUUUUUGUAUUGAUCUCAAUCAAUUAAAUAAUGAAUCAGUUUAGAUUGCUAGAUCAAUCCUAUUCAUGGGUGAACAAAGUAGCAGGGGAAGCAUCAAUCGAUCUGUCUAGAUUGCUAAUUCCAUAUGGAUAAGAUUGGUUCAAGUUUGAUAGCAACUUGUUGAUAUAAAGAGGUAAGGAGACUGCAGAAUCCUGGGUGUAGACUAACCACAGAGAUAGAUGUAAAGAAUCAAAGGAUGAAAUGCAUGGAAAAAAGGUCAACCGACCGACCUAUCGGUGUCUCUUGGUAUAAUGAAAGAUGAGAGAGAUAAUAUGAAUCAAGCUUGUCUUCAGCUCUCGACGUAAGAAAGAGAUCAGCUGAUUCAAGCUCACCUUGAAGGUAAUUAAACUUGAAUUGGAAUAGCUGUCGGGUUGGAUAUACUGUAAAUUUAAUUUCUGCAUCUAGGUUGCUGUGGUUGAUUUUUGUAUUCAAGUCAUUAGUUAUCAUAGUUUUGAUAAUUGUAUGAAUGAUUGAACUAUGGGUUUCUCAAUGAUGUCAAAAAUAGAUAUCGAGACUGAUAUAUCCAUUCUUAACCUUGAUGUUAAAUGAGGCAUUUGUCUGAGAGGAACUCAUUAAGAUUUUACAUUUGAUAUGAAAUUACUAUGAAACAUGAAAACAUGAAUUGGAAUAGCGGUCAAGUUGGACAUAUUGGAAAUUUAAUUUCUGUAUCUAGGUUGUUGUGGUUGAUUUUAUUGUUGGUAUUUAAGUCAUUUUCACAGCGUUUGUGGUUCCUUAUACCAUUCUCGUGUCUGAAAAUGACUAUAGUGAAAAACAUCCUGUAUGCUAUUUAAACAAGGAAGACCAUUUUGCUUUCUUGUCCUCAGCAAAGAUAGGAUAUAAUCAGUUUAUUAAAUUUUUGAAUGUGGCUUUGAUAGAACUCUGUUGCCUUUGUGUGCAGUAUUAUCUGCCAAUGUUGCUUUUCUUGUUGGUAUAUGAUUGCGGUUCCAUUCUCUUUAAACGAAGGUGACUAUAGUAAAAAAAAAAACACUCCGGUGUGCUAAUAAUUUCAAGUGAGAGUGGCUGUUGUUUUCUUGUCCUAUGAGCUACUCGUAAGGGAUGGAAUGUUUUCGCAUUCCGCCGCUUUCAGAGUGAAGUAUGUAGCCCAUGGUGUAGGUGAGAUCCCUCUGCGACGGUUCCUUCAAAUACUUCUCCACAGGCUAAAACCCUUCAUUUUGAAAGAGGUGGAGUGUCAAAGCACUCCACCGUAUUAGGAGUUGCUCUUAGAUGGGAGAUGAUCAGUUUACCGAAAACAGAACUUUGUAACAUCUUAUGCAAUAUUAAAAAAUCAUGUUUGGUGCAUGGAGAAUCUGGUAGAUUUAUAAUUCAUGUAUGACUAGUGUCAUAUGUGUGUUUUGGCCCUUUUGGAUUUCUGUGAUCAAUAAAGUGUACCAGUCAUAGUAUCAUCUUAAAUACAAUCAAAAGUACCGGUUUUGUUGUUGUAUUUAUUAUGGUAGUUUUGUCUUGAAUUAAUCUGUAGUAUCUCAAGAUAAGUAGUGCAAAGCUAAUGCAAAACUGCGGCACUUCUGACUGCUUAACUUGUCAUGGGUCACUAGUUACAUUAGUAUCAAUGCUUUGCGUGUAACUCAACUUAAUGAUCUGGUUUGUUUUUUUGUGUUAAAUAUAUGUUGUUUCAUUACUUCAUUUGGAAUCAAUUUUGUGGUGUUUAAAAAGGCAUUCGGCAGACUUAUUGGAUUGGAUAUCUGUCAUCAAUAAAGCAAACUGGUUCAUACUGUUACCAGCUUUGUGUCGGAAGAUGACUACAGUGAUAUUUUGGAGUUCGUUAGGCUCCUUGGACUAUUACACGAUGUGUUAAUCAGUUCUUUUGGAUAUCUGUGAUCAAUAAAGCAAAAUGGUUCAUAUUGUUACCAGCAUUGUGUCGGAAGAUGACUACAAUGAUAUUUUGGAGUUCGUUAGGCUUCUUGAACUGUUACGCGGUACAUGGAGUUUUGAGUAUCUUCCUACAUCCAUUUCCAUUUGGAUAUUCCUGGUGGUUGUUUGAGAAAGAACUCUGUGGUGUUUUUAAAGAAUUUGGAAGACUUAUAUUUUGGUUUUUGAACUUUUGAAGUUCGUGAUUGCUUGGUUGUAUAACUGGGAAAUAUCCAGAAGAUUGUGUAUGAGAAUGAGACAUUUAUGAGGGAGUUAGAGACUCACAGUUGAGAACUCGAGCAGCAACGUUAAAAAACCGAAAAGCGUGAGGCACAAUUGGAUCUCAAAGCAAGCAGCUAUCUGUUUAAGUGAAAAGGAACUCCUGUCAACCUGAAGUCUAUCGAUUAAACCCUCAAUUACCUUUUAUAUCUUCUCGGUCAACUUUGUGAACCAUGAGAAAGCAAACAUGAUGGGAACGAAAAAAAUUGGAAACCUUUCCGAUGCAGGUUACAAGAGAGUUGAGUACUGCGCAAUUGUGCAAGAGAAAUUUGAAGGAGAAAAUGUUCAAGCCUUAACAGAGGUGGAUGAUAUUUGUAAAAGACUGGAAGAGAACGAUUUGAUUAGCCUCAAUAACACCCUUAUCUCCAAAGAGUGCAGAAGUAACCGCCAGCCACAGGAGGCACACAAAGUUUUGAUUGAGGGUUUGGAUGGUUUUUAAAUGUACGUCCGCGUCCUCCUGUAAUUGGGAUGAAGUGGACGGUGGAGCUGAAUGAGAAACCAUUUCGAGAUAUUUGCUUCAACUAGUUCUCGACUACAGAAUGGGAACAGUUGAGCUAUGCUCGUUGUGGCAAAAUAAAAUACAAGAUUCAGAGCGGUAUCUUUAUAAGCAUGUGACAAUCGAUAAAAAGCAUCAUGAAGUUAUUAAUGAUGAUGAUAAAAAGUCGAGGAGCUGAAAGAUGAAUGGGGCGAGGAAGUAUGUGAUGCUGUAGCUGCUGCUUUGCUGGAGCAAUUUGCUAGAAAUGCUUGUGGAUAAACUGAACCCAUCAAGUUCUCCUGAGGCUCAAGCUGGUACAGCAGAAACACUUUGUGCCAUCACCCGUAACACGCCAUCAGCUCUAUCUGUUAAUCUCUUUAGCCCAAGCUUAUAGUAUGCCUAGUGUUGCGGAAGACGGUGUCACUUAACUUCAUGGUGGUCAUGUUUUCUACAGUGGAACGAGCUUUUGCAUCCCAUCCAAUUUGAUCAUGGCUACACAGUUAGCAGUCCCCUGAUCAUUUAUCUUUUAAAAAUGAUGAAGGACUUGCAACGUGAUCAACAAGAAGCUUUCAUUCAGUUUGGAGCUGGAUCACCUCUCCCACAUGUAGACUUAGCAGCUCCGGACCCUAAGAUGGCAAUUGUCUGCAAGGAUACAGUGAAGGAGAAGUUGCUUUAUGCUAUAGCUGAAGUCUAGGGAUCCAUCUUGCAUGAGAGGACCAGCAAGAUUUUUUUUGUAAUGACCGAGUGCAACUUCAUAGAGAUUUAAUUUAAUUUGUAAUUUUCGUAUUGAUUUUUAAUUUUGAUAACGACUUUGAUUUAAAUUUAUUUUCUUAUUAAUUUUUAAAUUUGGUAAUGAAUUUAAUUUAAAUAUAUAAAAAAAAGACAGUGGGUUUGGUUGUGGAAUAA